rnacentral:rRNA from 1 species
CUUGGAAGCAGCCAUUCAUUUAAAGAGUGCGUAACAGCUCACUAGUCGAGCGAUCCCGCGUGGAUAAUACACGGGCAUCAAACUGUCAACCGAAGCCGUGGGGUUAGUUAAUGACUGACCGGUAGGAGAGCAUUCCUGCCAGCUUUGAAGGUCACCCGCGAGAGUGACUGGAGCGGCAUGAAAAGCAAAUGUAGGCAUAAGUAACGAUAAUGGGGGCGAGAACCCCCCACGCCGCAAGACCAAGGAUUCCCCGGCAAUGUCAAUCAGCCGGGGGUCAGCCGGCCUCUAAGGCUAACCCGAACGGGGACGCCGACGAGAAACGGGUUAACAUUCCCGUGCUUCUCGUCACCGUGACGCGGUGACGGGGUGAUGAAUGGACCGCGCGCUGACGGAAUAGCGCGUUGAAGGCCGUACCCUGUGACGGUGGUAGUCAAGCACGCCACCGGAGGCGAAAGUCGAUAGUACCUCGAGGCCUCGGCCGAGGGGAUAGCGUCCAGGCAAUUUACCCCCUAGAAAACCCGCUAAACUUCAAGUGACGAGGAACCGUACUGUAAACGGACACACGUGGUCGGGUAGAACAUACCAAGGCGCUCGAGUGAUUCAUGGUCAAGGAACUAGGCAAAAUAGUCCUGUAACUUCGGGAAAAAGGACGCUCUAGUGAUAGAGCCGCAGAGUAAUGGCCCAGGCGACUGUUUACCAAAAACACAUGGCUAUGCCAAAUCGAAAGAUGACGUAUAUGGCCUGACACCUGCCCGGUGCCGGAAGGUUAAGAGGAGAGCUCAUCCGCGAGGAGAAGGUUUGAAUUGAAGCCCCGGUAAACGGCGGCCGUAACUAUAACGGUCCUAAGGUAGCGAAAUUCCUUGUCGGGUAAGUUCCGACCUGCACGAAUGGUGUAACGAUCUGGGCACUGUCUCGACCAUGAGCUCGGUGAAAUUGUAGUUCCGGUGAAGAUGCCGGGUACCCGCGACGGGACGGAAAGACCCCGUGAACCUUUACUGCAGCUUCGCGUUGUUCCCGGGCACGGGACGUGUAGGAUAGGUCGGAGGCUACGAGUCGGUUUCGCCAGGAAUCGAGGAGCCAUCGUUGAAAUACGACCCUUCUCUUGUCUGGGAUCUAACCCUUUGUAUAGGGGACACCGCGUGGUGGGUAGUUUGACUGGGGUGGUCGCCUCCAAAAGCGUAACGGAGGCUUCCAAAGGUACCCUCGGGUUGGUUGGUAAUCAACCGUAGAGUGCAAUGGCACAAGGGUGCUUGACCGGGAGACCAACGAGUCGAUCGGGUGCGAAAGCAGGGCAUAGUGAUCCGGUGAUCCCGCGUGGAAGGGUCAUCGCUCAAAGGAUAAAAGGUACUCCGGGGAUAACAGGCUGAUCGCCCCCAAGAGCUCAUAUCGACGGGGCGGUUUGGCACCUCGAUGUCGGCUCGUCA